rnacentral:misc_RNA from 1 species
GUUAUUUAAAGGUAAUGGCUGUUACUAACCGUUCUGGAACGGUCGUAAUGGCUGUUACCGUUCCAACUAAGAAUUCUUCAAUUUUUUUGGCCUCUUUCACGUGAAAUGCUAAAAAACUAUUUCUUAACUUUUUUUGACCUCUUUCAUGUGAAAUGCUAAAAAACUAUUUUGACUAUUUUAUUUUAGUACCUUUUCAUUCUCUCUAGGGAACUAAGCCAUUUUCUCUCAACUU